rnacentral:rRNA from 1 species
CGCGGCAAGACGGAAAGACCCCGUGAACCUUUACUAUAGCUUGACACUGAACAUUGAGCCUUGAUGUGUAGGAUAGGUGGGAGGCUUUGAAGUGUGGACGCCAGUCUGCAUGGAGCCGACCUUGAAAUACCACCCUUUAAUGUUUGAUGUUCUAACGUGGACCCGUUACCCGGGUUGCGGACAGUGUCUGGUGGGUAGUUUGACUGGGGCGGUCUCCUCCUAAAGAGUAACGGAGGAGCACGAAGGUUGGCUAAUCCUGGUCGGACAUCAGGAGGUUAGUGCAAUGGCAUAAGCCAGCUUGACUGCGAGCGUGACGGCGCGAGCAGGUGCGAAAGCAGGUCAUAGUGAUCCGGUGGUUCUGAAUGGAAGGGCCAUCGCUCAACGGAUAAAAGGUACUCCGGGGAUAACAGGCUGAUACCGCCCAAGAGUUCAUAUCGACGGCGGUGUUUGGCACCUCGAUGUCGGCUCAUCACAUCCUGGGGCUGAAGUAGGUCCCAAGGGUAUGGCUGUUCGCCAUUUAAAGUGGUACGCGAGCUGGGUUUAGAACGUCGUGAGACAGUUCGGUCCCUAUCUGCCGUGGGCGCUGGAGAACUGAGGGGGGCUGCUCCUAGUACGAGAGGACCGGAGUGGACGCAUCACUGGUGUUCGGGUUGUCAUGCCAAUGGCACUGCCCGGUAGCUAAAUGCGGAAGAGAUAAGUGCUGAAAGCAUCUAAGCACGAAACUUGCCCCGAG